AGGAGCUACCGCGCCCGCCGCGAAUUGGAUCUCUAUGGAGGUGGCAUAGGCGAUAUCCCUGAGCUGAGAGCAUCGCCCGGCCCCCCGAAUCCUUCUUCCCUCUGUUUUGUUUUUCAUUUCUCCCCUUCCUCCCUUCCCCCCUCUCCCCUCCAGUCCGCGACGACUGGCUCUUGACCCCGUUCAGGCCUCGGUGAAGGCUUUUGGUUACUCCCCUUCCACCCUAUCCCUUAAUUUCAUUUUUUUUGAAGCGUCUGCGUUUCAAGCUGCCAAGGUGGAGAGAGUGAUUGCAGAAGGGAGUGCUCCUCAUUUCAGUUUCUGUAGGUCAGGAAUCCAGGCGCAGUUUAGCUCCAGACUCUGCUUCAGUGUCUCCCACGGCUGCAAUGAAGGUAUUGGCCAGGGCUACAGUCAUUUCAAGGCUCCACUGGGGAAGGAGCCACUUCCAAGCUCACUCCUGUUGCCAAGAUUCAGUUUUUCACAGGCUGCUGGACUGAGUGGGAGGCUGCCCUCAGCUCCAUGACACGUGGACCUCUCUAUAGUGCUGCUUACAACAUGCCAGCUGGCAUCAUCGAAGUGAGCAAAUGAGAGAGUGCCAGUAACGCAGCAGUCACAGACUUUUAUAACCUAUUUUGGAAGUGUUAUUCCAUCACUUUUCUUGUGUUCUGUUCAUUAAAGCAAGUCACUAGUGAACCAGGAUGCAGGCUUUCACCAGCCACCGAAUCUGCUGGCACCUUGAUCUUGGACUUCCCAGCCUCCAGAACUGUGCGAAAUAAAUUUCUGUUGAUUAUUAAAAAUAAAUAAAUAAAUAAAAUUUUUAAAAUGCAAGUUACUAGAUCCAGCCCAUAUUCAAGAGGAGAGAAUAUUACACAAAGGCAUGAAUACCAGGAGGGAAAGAUCACCUUGAGCCAUUUUAGAAGGCUGCCUUCUACAGGCUCAGAGUGUUCAAGUUGCUUAUCUAGUUUCACAAAGGUAAUAAGUAGCAAACCUGAGAUUCCAAAUCACAUCUGCCUGAUUACAGAGCCCACAGGGUUUCCAUCUACUACUCUUCUCCCAAUGAAUAUAUAGGAAUAAUUAUAGGGUUAGCAUAAACUAGUCUAGAAGUGGUUCUAAAGUGUUAAAAAUCUGUUCUCUAGGAUAGAAAAAGUCAUCUCCAUCCUAAUUGUUCUUCCUAGGAUUUUUCAUUCUAAUCAUUUUUUUCAUAGCUAGGACAAGUUAAACUGUUUUUCAUUCGUGCUCCACGGUACCAUAAACUCCAAAUUAGUGAUAUAAGAUUUUUCAUUAUUUAAAAAAACCUGCAAAGUGUAAGUUACCUCUCAGCAAUACUAUCUAAGGAAAAUAAUCUUGUGGGCACACUAGGGUUACUAAUAGACCUUUGGAGAGAGUAUCUUUCAAUUGUUAAUUUAUUCAGAGAGUCAUGGGAAAGGACAUAGACAUUUGUAAAUAACAAUAAAAGUGUAUACAAGGAGCUCUUAAGUUCAGAAAAGAAAUAUGGUUAAAGAAGUAUGAUUCAAAGAGUCAAAAACAGUUUGAGUCUUGAAACAUGAAAAGCAUGAAUCUGAGUUUACCAGGUGACCAGGACACAGAGUUAUUAAAAAAAAAAAAAAAAAACCAUGGCCUAGGAUUAUAAACAGAUUUGGAACUUGGGGGAUUCCCUGAAAGUCAGAGGGCAGAUGGGAUCAGAAUGGCAGAGCAAGAGUCAAAGACUUCAAUGUCAGAGGUAAAUGAUACAAGGAGUUGGGGGGUGGGCUGGGGGAAAGGCACAAUGUCCUAGAACAACCAUAAAGGGUAACUGGGAAAUGGAACUUGAAACCUCUGGUUGGGUUGGCUUCUCAGUCCAUUCACUUUUCAAAGCUAAAGUUAUCCUGAAAUGAUAUUUUACACUAGACUGUCACAGUGACUCUGGAAACUUGGGGCAGAUAAGUCAGGCAGUACUUCAGGUGGCUACAUCCAGGAAAGGAAACCUCAUUUCACAAACAGAAUUAUCAGCCACUGGUAUGCACCGUCCAAGAUUACAUUUUAUCCCUUCCUCACAAUCAUCAGAGCAAACUGUGAUAAACUGAAACUACCUCAGGCACAGAGAACAAGGAAUACCAAGGUGAGAACAAAAUCAAGAACAACCAAAUACCCAAGGAAGACCAAUACCAUGAAAGGGUGACACCAGUCAACAAACAAAAGAACUAACACCCAAGCAAGUAGUUAUUAGAAUAAACAGAGGAUCUUGGAAACAAUAAUUGUUAAUAUUUAUCUAGUGCAUACUAGGUGUGGUAUCAAGCAUUGUUCUCAUGUAUUUUUUUUUAAUAUUUAUUUAUUUGUCUGUGCCGGGUCUUAGUUGCAGCACACGGGAUCUUCAUUGUCAAGUGCGAUAUCUUCGUUGUGGCAUGCGGGAUCUUUAGUUGUGGCAUGCGAACUCUUAGUUGUGGCAUGCAAAUUCUUAGUUGCGGCAUGCAAACUCUUAGUUGCGGCAUGUGGGAUCUAGUUCCUUGACGAGGGAUCGAACCCGGGCCCCCUGCAUUGGGAGCACGGAGUCUUAGCCACUGGACCACCAAGGAAGUCCCUCUCAUGUAUUUUUUUAAAUUUAAUAUUUAUAUGGAGUAUCCCCAGAAGAAUAUGAGAGAGUAUUGCAUCUAACUUUCAUGAAAAAGAGCUAGUUUUAAAGAUGGUUGAAAAAUUAAAAGACAGUCUAAACAGUAAAUAGACUCUGAUGAAUAGCAAAAUGAAAGAAUAAGCUGAAGAAUUAUUUCAAAAGAACAAAGAUAUAAGGGCUUCCCUGGUGGCGCAGUGGUUGAGAGUCCGCCUGCCGAUGCAGGGGACACGGGUUCGUGCCCCGGUCCGGGAAGAUCCCACAUGGCGCAGAGCGGCUGGGCCCAUGAGCCAUGGCCGCUGAGCCUGCGCGUCCGGAGAGGUGAUUUAAGAAACAUGCAAGAUAAAUACAGAGAUUUCAGUAUCUCUCUCAUAAUUCCAAAGAAGAGGUAACAGAAAAUUGUAGGGCAGCAAUAACUAAAAAAAUAAUAGCGAAAAAUUCCUGGUAUGACUGGUGUAGUUUAGAAGAAAUGUUUAAUGCCACUUAAUGUAUUAAAAAAAUAAAGAAAUCAAACAUUA